rnacentral:rRNA from 1 species
AUGCCCUGCAAAAACAAGUUAGACGUCCUCUACUUUGUUGUUGCAAGUUUUAUGUGGCUGCUACGGGCUGAGCAAGAACCGUUCUUACCUACGGCAUAUUUCCUUCAAGUACAGCUUAUCCAGAGACACCAAUUGGGAGAGGUACAACAUAUGCAUUUCAAAGAGAACUGGACUCUGCUAUUUCUGAUUUCACCAAGGUUGAAAUUUUAA